rnacentral:sRNA from 1 species
AGAGCAAAUGGCUUAAAGAAAGCAAAUGGUGUUGCAAAGUGCUAACUAUGAAUGUCUUCAAAAAUGCUUAUUAUUAAUGGAAUUCUUGUCUUAAAGAGCAAAGGCACAACACCACUUGCUCCACCACCUAAACCUGUUCGAAGAAGAUUAAAAUCAGAAGAUGAAUUAAGGCCAGAAGUUGAUGAACAUACACAAAAGACGGGUGUCUUAGCUGCUGUUCUUGCAUCACAACCUUCUAUUCCCAGAUCUGUUGGGAAAGAUAAGAAAGCUAUUCAGGCAUCAAUUAGACGUAAUAAGGAAACCAACACCGU